AUUUGAAUAACUUAGCUUAGAUGUUCUUUCAAUUUUUUAACCAUGUUGAUAUUUGUAAGAUUCGUGUAAACAAUAAAAUUUAAAACAUUGAGAAACUAAAUAAAUAUUUUUUUAUUAAAAAAUUUUUGUUAUUUUUAGAAACUGUGUUUUUUAGAAUAAUUAUUUACAUGACAUAAUUUCAGCUCUUUUAAACUACCCAGACAACAUGAAUUAGUAAAAUGCGACGUUGGCAUUUCCAUUUGGAAAUAGCUAUUAUUUUAUUAUCAUUAAGAUACGGAAUUGUGACCAAUGGAAAUGUAGAAUGAUGACCACCGGACACCUUGUGACCAAUGAAAAUGUACCACGUAAAUAUUAGUCUGCAGUGAGCAUUUGACAGUAAUCUAACGUCUGAAAAAAAGUUUUUAUUUUUAUUAUGACCGGUUGGAUUGUAGAAAAAAAUAGUCUAGGCAGGUCGAUUUUAAUAAUUAUUAAGAUAUUCGUAUUAUUUCUGACACUCUCCAGCGCUCGUGUGGUAGUAUGUAUAAAAUUUUAUUUUUAAUUUGUUCUUAAAGAAACCCAAUAAUCCGUAAAAAAUACAGUGAGUUACAAAAUUAUGGAAUAACGUUAAUUAUUCUGUUUUGGCAAAAAUGCUGGAACGAUUCAAAUUUCCUUUUAAAAACUGCGUCGUUUUCAACAAUAUUUAAAAUUUACACAAUUGGCUUUUGAAUAAUGACAACAUCGACAUUUUUUAAAAUGAAAACCCCCUAUUUUUUGGCCAUUUCCAUAGACCUUUUAAUUAUUGAAAGACAACAAAUUUAAAAGAUAUAAAAAUUAUCAGUCCGAAAGUUGUUCAUAAAUCAUAAUUACGAAUAACUUGUGGACUGUACAAAAUUUAUUUAGUGGAUGGCACCAUGAAAACUGUAUUUAAAUAAAGAAUUGACUCUUUUUUUGUUAAAUAGGUACCUAUUUGAAUUUUGUUAAUAUUAAAAUUUGGAUUUUUCACUUUUUGAAAAUGUAUUUCCAAAAUAUUGUUAUGUAACGUUUCAUUUUUUGGUGUUGCCAUUUGGACAAUUAAAGUAUCUAUCGAUAUGUCUAAAAAAUCAUUAGUGCUCCCCAUUAAAAAAAAUGUUGGUGACGCCAUUAGUCAAAAACCAAAAGAUACAAAAUUUCAUUACCAUUACCAACCACUAUUUCGCUCACUUCUGCCGUGGAAGUGAAAUUACAAUAUAUUUUUUCGAAUGUCUGGGAAUUACUGCAAAUAAUGAUAAUAAAACCCGACAAUGCAUUGCAAGUCACGACCCCCUUAUCUCUUAUUUAUUUCAUCAUUCUUCGAAAAACCCAGGUAAAGUACAGUUUCCUCUCAAUGCAAUAUAAAAGAAGAUCCGAGGCCCCCUUAGACCAGUAUUCCCAACACAGCAAAAUGAAGCUAAUCAUCAUCGCUCUAAUUGCCCUUUUCUGCGUCUUCGAAACCACAGCCUUUCCAGCAGAUGGAGAACACGUCCGGGUCAAACGCUUCACUUGUGACGUCCUCAGCGCCGAAGGGGGCUUCCGGGGCGUCUCCAUCAAGCUAAAUCAUGCCGCAUGUGCCGCUCAUUGUCUCUAUUUGAAGAAACGCGGAGGAUAUUGCAACGAUAAAGCUGUCUGUGUUUGUCGUAAAUAGAUCGGAAUGUUUUUAUUGGCUAAAUAAAUUAAUUAUCAACUA